rnacentral:misc_RNA from 1 species
GAUGAAGAACGUAGCGAAAUGCGAUAAGUAGUGUGAAUUGCAGAAUUCAGUGAAUCAUCGAAUCUUUGAACGCACAUUGCGCCCCUUGGUAUUCCAUGGGGCAUGCCUGUUCGAGCGUCAUUCGUACCUUCAAGCUCUGCUUGGUGUUGGGUGUUUGUCUCGCCUCUGCGUGUAGACUCGCCUCAAAACAAUUGGCAGCCGGCGUAUUGAUUUCGGAGCGCAGUACAUCUCGCGCUUUGCACUCAUAACGACGACGUCCAAAAGUACAUUUUUACACUCUUGACCUCGGAUCAGGUAGGGAUACCCGCUGAACUUAAGCAUAUCAAUAAGCGGAGGA